rnacentral:lncRNA from 1 species
GUCUGAAAUAAUUCAAAGGAAUUGAAGAAGUAUAGCUUGCCCCUCUAUAAAAUGAAAUGUUAAAACUAAAUGGGUCCGGGUCGGUAAAAGACAGUAUGACUCAGCUAGGUUGAGCUCAGGUUGGGUUCAAGUCAAGCAUUCCUAACCUGCUAGCAACUCAUAUUGGAUAUCUCAUAGAAACGUGAUAUAUGGCCCUAACUUGAUGUAUUAUCAUCAUCUGUAAUCAUAUCUGUAAUCCUAGCUUUUGCAGUAAUAUUGUGAAACAUGGGUGGGGCGAUAUCUUGAUCAAACUUUCCAUGUCGUUCCGCAUGGAUACACGUCUGAUUCCCAAUUCUAUUUCUUCGUGUCGACUUUGCAUGUUGGUCUAGAUGCUUCAUAACACACUCUUGAGUCUAGGGGAUGGCAGUUCUCGCCCUACUACAGACACAGUAAAUUUGGAUCCAAAUAGGUUUGGGUCUUCAUAUCGGACCGAGAUGAAUCUGAAUCUGGUUAGCUUUAGCCAGACCACUAUGUAUUGCACAUGAGUGAUGUUUCAGUACAUGCACAGGUGCUGCUAUCAUACCAUGUGUCAUUGUAUACAGGUUACAAUAUUUGACAAAGUCCCUAAAAUUCAUGAAGACGAUUGCUAAUUCUCUUCUUAAUUCUGGUGGUCUAUGUUAGUUAUAUAGAUUUUCUUAAUGAUAGCUGACUCCAAAUUCAGGGAAGGGGAUAUUGGCUAGGUGUCAUAUGUAACUGCUCACAGCAGGAAAUGGAGCAGUGUUCAGUGGAUGGAUGCUGAAGUAUGUCC